UACGGGGGGGGCAAGCGUUGUUCGGAAUUACUGGGCGUAAAGGGCUCGUAGGCGGCCAACUAAGUCAGACGUGAAAUCCCCAGGCUUAACCUGGGAACUGCGUCUGAUACUGGAUGGCUUGAAUUCGGGAGAGGGAUGCAGAAUUCCAGGUGUAGCGGUGAAAUACGUAGAUAUCUGGAGGAACACCGGUGGCGAAGGCGGCAUCCUGGACCGACACUGACACUGAGGAGCGAAAGCCAGGGGAGCAAACGGG
rnacentral:rRNA from 1 species